rnacentral:lncRNA from 1 species
GGUAUUUUAUGCAAGGAUUUAUAAAAAUGGCUCAUCUGAGAUCAGAAAUUGCUGGUGUGGUCCACGACACUUUUAACAGAAAGAUGGAAGGAUUUUGUGGUGUGGGAAAAAAUGCACAAUUAGGAGUUUGAUUCUUAGUUGGACCGUUUCCUAGUUUGUCGUUGUCCCAGUUGUUAGGUAGCUUGUUUUGUGACCCUGGUACUUUUAUGCAACAUUCAUCUAUGAUGCGAAUAUGAGUUGCGUU